GUGAAUCAUCGAAUUUUUGAACGCAAAUUGCACUCUCCGGUUUUCCGGGAGAGUAUGCCUGUUUGUGGGUCAGCCUAAAAAAAAUCGGCUUAGUAGCUGCUGUGUUUCACGGUAACGUUCGUCGGAACUUGUGUCAUCUUAAACCGAAAGGUCUAAGCGCCUUAAAAAUUUUUUUACGUUCUUACUAACGUUUUUAAGAAUUUCUUAUACGUUAUCUGUUAUCGGAC
rnacentral:misc_RNA from 1 species